GACGAACCGUGCGAACGUUAUUCGGAAUCACUGGGCUUAAAGCGCGUGUAGGCGGAUGAGCACGUCUGUCGCUGAAAUCCCCCGGCUCAACCGGGGAACGGGCGCGGAUACGGCUCGUCUCGAGGGGCGUAGGGGGGACCUGGAACUUCCGGUGGAGCGGUAAAAUGCGUAGAUAUCAAGAGGAACACCAGUGGCGAAGGCGAGUCCCUGGACGAUACCUGACACUGAGGCACGAAAGCCGGGGGAGCAAACAGG
rnacentral:rRNA from 1 species